rnacentral:rRNA from 1 species
AGUGAACGCUGGCGGUAGGCCUAACACAUGCAAGUCGAACGGCAGCACCGUAAUAGCUUGCUCUUACGGGUGGCGAGUGGCGGACGGGUGAGGAAUACAUCGGAAUCUACUUUUUCGUGGGGGAUAACGUAGGUAAACUUACGCUAAUACCUCAUACGACCUACGGGUGAAAUCAUGUGAUCUUCUGACCUUGCGCGAUUUUAUGAGCCGAUGUCGGAUUAGCUAGUUGGCUGGGUAAAGGCCCACCAAGGCGACGAUCCGUAGCUGGUCUGAGAGGAGGAUCAGGAAAACUGGAACUGAGACACGGUCCAGACUACUACGGGAGGAAGCAGUGGGGAAUAUUGGAAAAUGGGCGCAAGCCUGAUACAGAAAUACCGCGUGGGUGAAGAAGGCCUUCGGGUUGUAAAGAACUUUUGUUGGGAAAGAAAAGCAGCAGGUUAAUACACCGCUGUUAUGACGGUACCCAAAGAAUAAGCACCGGCUAACUUCGUG